AGGUCAUCAAGACCGUCGCCAAAGCUGCACCAAAAAUGAGCCCACUGUCAAAUUGCUAACUCGUGUAAUCCAUAAUAUGUAAAUUCAAAAAUGCCAUAGUCCAAACAGUACAUGUUUAUAUAUAUAUAAGUAUAGCAUGUAUUAACAUUUCAAAAUAUAUCAGGCCUUUCGGUUAUUUA